CGCUGGCGGCAGGCCUAACACAUGCAAGUCGAGCGGAUGAGAGGAGCUUGCUCCUCGAUUCAGCGGCGGACGGGUGAGUAAUGCCUAGGAAUCUGCCUAGUAGUGGGGGACAACGUUUCGAAAGGAACGCUAAUACCGCAUACGUCCUACGGGAGAAAGUGGGGGAUCUUCGGACCUCACGCUAUUAGAUGAGCCUAGGUCGGAUUAGCUAGUUGGUAGGGUAAAGGCCUACCAAGGCGACGAUCCGUAACUGGUCUGAGAGGAUGAUCAGUCACACUGGAACUGAGACACGGUCCAGACUCCUACGGGAGGCAGCAGUGGGGAAUAUUGGACAAUGGGCGAAAGCCUGAUCCAGCCAUGCCGCGUGUGUGAAGAAGGCCUUCGGGUCGUAAAGCACUUUAAGUUGGGAGGAAGGGCUUACAGCGAAUACCUGUGAGUUUUGACGUUACCGACAGAAUAAGCACCGGCUAACUUCGUGCCAGCAGCCGCGGUAAUACGAAGGGUGCAAGCGUUAAUCGGAAUUACUGGGCGUAAAGCGCGCGUAGGUGGCUUGAUAAGUUGGAUGUGAAAUCCCCGGGCUCAACCUGGGAACUGCAUCCAAAACUGUCUGGCUAGAGUGUGGUAGAGGGUAGUGGAAUUUCCAGUGUAGCGGUGAAAUGCGUAGAUAUUGGAAGGAACACCAGUGGCGAAGGCGACUACCUGGACUAACACUGACACUGAGU
rnacentral:rRNA from 1 species